UACAGAGGGUGCAAGCGUUGUUCGGAAUUAUUGGGCGUAAAGCGCGUGUAGGCGGCUUAGCAAGUCGGGCGUGAAAUCCCUCGGCUUAACCGAGGAACUGCCCUCCAAACUGCUUUGCUUGAGGCCGGGAGAGGUGAGUGGAAUUCCCAGUGUAGCGGUGAAAUGCGUAGAUAUUGGGAGGAACACCGGUGGCGAAGGCGGGAUCCUGGGCCAGUACUGACGCUGAGGAGCGAAAGCGUGGGGACCAAACAGG
rnacentral:rRNA from 1 species